GCAGUUGUUUUUCUUGACUGCAUUCCAGGUGGACACUUCCGGCCUCGAUGUUGACCGGGAGACACACACAGGCUCUUUGCUUCCACUCAUUCUUCUUCGGGCACCAGGCUUCUCUGUGCUUCAGCAGCACGGAAGUCUCUCCCCCAAACACAUCCUGUCAAACACAAAGACCAAAAACAUCCCAGACUGGGAGCCAGACGGACUUGGAGUUUCUUAGACUCGUUUUGCACUGCCCAAGCUAAUCAGAUUUUACACAUUCUGACACCAUGUGUCCUGCUCAGUAUUCUGUCCCUAGGAUACAAAUGCCCUCAUUGUACUCCAUGGCUCUGAGUGCAGAGGCCAAGCCAUGAUCAUACCCAGCUCUUCCGAGUGCCCCCCUGAGUGUACCCAGAGCUAGUCCAACCGCUGAGAUAACAACCAUCUUGACAAGGAUGCACCUUCAUCUAUGCAUCUGCUUCAGCUCCUAUGCCAAAGCUUCAUAUUCAUUUAACUUCUGUGUAUAAGGCUGGCAAACUCAGCCUCGCCUCUGUCUUUGUCAUGAGCCAUGGGCCAGCAGAUGGAGGCACCACCUUGAGAAGGUUUCGUUUCUUGGCUUCUAGAAGCAUGUGUGUUGGUGGCAAUCUGCAGUUGGCAUCGCACACCACAAGUCCGAGAGACAGGUGGCUCACUCUUGGAAUGAGGCUAGAGCCCGCAUGGAGCUGUCCAUCCCAGCCAUGGAUACAAGCACAGUCUAUUUCAGGUAACCAUGCACCUGACCCACCUCCAGUUCCAUCUCUAGCACCAGUGAAUCAGAGCAGAAGAGCAAUGUAGUAAAAUGAAGUCCUUCAAUCAACUGAAUCCAAAUGUGCCUGCUCUGUGGCCUGCUGUAAUUACUCACCAUGAAUACCUAGGAAAAAGCCAAUCAUCUACUGUGGAUCAGCACUUUCUAGAAACUGAGAUGGUGUAUGAAAUCUGAGUUCACAGUCAGCCAGAUAAGUACCGAAUUACUUCCAUAUUGCUUAGUGUAGCUAUUGUCACACCACCCUGAUCACUGGGAACUCUCUGGACCUUUUAAUCCUGCAAUUAAAAGGGGCAAUGCCAGACCAACUGCAGUGGCAGUGGGAAUUGAGCUCUGAUUGGUUGCUCUGGCCAACUCCCUUCUGAUUCGUCAACAGUUGAGCAGGGCUAGUUGUCGUAAAUCUUAAACAUCAACCCUGAGCAAGUCAGCCCUGGUCUUGGAGACUUCCAUAAAAAAAAAAAGAAAAAAGAAAAAAAAAAAAAAAACAAUGAAAACGGAGAGGAGUCAUGCAAGUGACAGCUGUGCCUCGAGUCCUUGCCUGCAUUUUCUUCUCUCCAAAGGCCACCCAGAGGUGUGAAGGUUUCUUUGCAACAAGACAAUGAUUUCAUAAAUGUUGCUCUUUGCCAAAUCCCCUGAGGCCUUGCAUGUUGGGUGCUAAUAAAGUGCAAAUUAUUAUUAGGCAUGUGGUCUAUGUAGGUCACUGCCAAAUACUGGCGUGAAGAAAAGGAAAGGAAAGAAAAGCAAAUGUGCUCACCCUGGAGAGAGCGUGGAAGAGGGCUGGCAGCUCCUCCUGCGGAUGAGGAGCCUGCCUGGGAUCUCUGUUCUUAGUCUCCCAGAGGGACUUAGUUUUCCCACUUGCAAAAUGAAGACCCCAGAAAUGACCUUCAUUCGUCAUUCAGGAUUUUGGAAAACAGGAGGCUUUUCCAGAAGAAAGGACUGGGGGGGGGGGGGUGCUACUAAAGAACGGAUUGGGAGGCCGGCGCCCCGGCUCACUAGGCUAAUCCUCCGCCUUGCGGCGCCGGCACACCGCGUUCUAGUCCCGGUCGGGGCACCGGAUUCUGUCCCGGUUGCCCCUCUUCCAGGCCAGCUCUCUGCUGUGGCCAGGGAGUGCAGUGGAGGAUGGCCCAAGUUCUUGGGCCCUGCACCUGGCUCCUGGCUUCGAAUCAGUACGAUGCGCCGGCCGCGGCGGCCAUUGGAGGGUGAACCAACGGCAAAAAGGAAGACCUUUCUCUCUGUCUCUGUCUCUCUCACUGUCCAGUCUGCCUGUCAAAAAAAAAAAAAAAAAAAAAAAA